GGGGUUGUGGCUCAGUGGUAGAGCACUUGCCUCACAUGCAUGAGGCACUGGGUUGGAUCCUCAGCACCACA
rnacentral:tRNA from 1 species